rnacentral:rRNA from 1 species
UCGCAGAUCAGAAUGCUGCGGUGAAUGCGUUCCCGGGUCAUGUACACACCGCCCGUCACACCACGGGAGUUGGAGACGCCCGAAGCCGAUUAUCUAACCUUUUGGAAGAAGUCGUCGAAGGUGGAAUCAAUAACUGGGGUGAAGUCGUAACAAGGUAGCCGUAUCGGAAGGUGCGGCUGGAUCACCUCCUUUCUAAGGAGA